GCUCUGGAUAUUUUUCAGCCAUCUAAGAGGACCAAAUCGGAGGUCUGGUCGUAUUUUGGCUUUUACAAGAGUCCUGAAGGCAAUUUAAUCGAGGACGGUCACCCUGUCUGCAGAUCUUGCAAGAAGAAAA